GAUGAACGCUAGCUACAGGCUUAACACAUGCAAGUCGAGGGGCAGCAUGGUCUUAGCUUGCUAAGGCCGAUGGCGACCGGCGCACGGGUGAGUAACACGUAUCCAACCUGCCGUCUACUCUUGGACAGCCUUCUGAAAGGAAGAUUAAUACAAGAUGGCAUCAUGAGUUCACAUGUUCACAUGAUUAAAGGUAUUCCGGUAGACGAUGGGGAUGCGUUCCAUUAGAUAGUAGGCGGGGUAACGGCCCACCUAGUCUUCGAUGGAUAGGGGUUCUGAGAGGAAGGUCCCCCACAUUGGAACUGAGACACGGUCCAAACUCCUACGGGAGGCAGCAGUGAGGAAUAUUGGUCAAUGGGCGCAGGCCUGAACCAGCCAAGUAGCGUGAAGGAUGACUGCCCUAUGGGUUGUAAACUUCUUUUAUAAAGGAAUAAAGUCGGGUAUGUAUACCCGUUUGCAUGUACUUUAUGAAUAAGGAUCGGCUAACUCCGUGCCAGCAGCCGCGGUAAUACGGAGGAUCCGAGCGUUAUCCGGAUUUAUUGGGUUUAAAGGGAGCGUAGAUGGAUGUUUAAGUCAGUUGUGAAAGUUUGCGGCUCAACCGUAAAAUUGCAGUUGAUACUGGAUAUCUUGAGUGCAGUUGAGGCAGGCGGAAUUCGUGGUGUAGCGGUGAAAUGCUUAGAUAUCACGAAGAACUCCGAUUGCGAAG
rnacentral:rRNA from 1 species